rnacentral:misc_RNA from 1 species
AAAUAACAAAAUCAGAUGGAGAAGAAUAUAGGGAAGACAUUACUAGCCAAUUUCUAAUGAAUUGCACAGAUUACAAGCUUCUGUUGUUUUAAGUCCUUGAUAGAUUAUUUCAUUUAUUAUGUUGACUGAAGAAUUGGUUGAGAGAACUUGCAGGUCAUAUUAGAUAAGGUAUCACUAUCUUAUCUCCCCUGAAGAGGCAUCUGGAACAUAAAGAAGUUUCCAGGAACUUCAACAUUGCACAGUGUUAUGAAAAAAAUAACUAUCUAUUGUGCUGAGAGCACAAGAAUAAUGGAAAAUUUCGAGUACAAUUUCCGGUAGCCAUUUUCACAAGAACCAAAAAAAAAAGUGUUUGAAGAUAUA